GGGGAUUUAGCUCAGCGGCAUAAGCACCUGCCUUGCAAGCAGGCAGCGUGAGUUCGAUUCCCAGUACCA
rfam:Cavia porcellus supercont2_36 genomic scaffold, whole genome shotgun sequence.